AGAGUUUGAUCAUGGCUCAGGAUGAACGCUAGCUACAGGCUUAACACAUGCAAGUCGAGGGGAAACGACAUCGAAAGCUUGCUUUUGAUGGGCGUCGACCGGCGCACGGGUGAGUAACGCGUAUCCAACCUGCCCACCACUUGGGGAUAACCUUGCGAAAGUAAGACUAAUACCCAAUGACGUCUCUAGAAGACAUCUGAAGGAGAUUAAAGAUUUAUCGGUGAUGGAUGGGGAUGCGUCUGAUUAGCUUGUUGGCGGGGUAACGCCACAAGGCGACGAUCAGUAGGGGUUCUGAGAGGAAGGUCCCCCANAUUGGAACUGGAAGACACGGUACCAAACUCCUACGGGAGCA
rnacentral:rRNA from 1 species